rnacentral:rRNA from 1 species
UUUGUUACUUCAAACCAAUCGGACUUCGGUCUGACAUCAAGUGAUAUUGAACAAUUUAGCUGAUCGCACGGUCUAAGAACCGGCGACAUAUCCUUCAAAUGUCUGCCUUAUCARCUUUCGAUGGUAGAUUAUGCGCCUACCAUGGUUGUAACGGGUAACGGAGAAUCAGGGUUUGAUUCCGGAGAGGGAGCCUGAGAAACGGCUACCACAUCCAAGGAAGGCAGCAGGCACSCAAAUUACCCACUCCCGGCACGGGGAGGUAGUGACGAAAAAUAACAAGCUGGUCUCAAKGAGUUCCAGCAUUGUAAUGGGAACAAUUUAAAUCUUUUAUCGAGGAUCUAUUGGAGGGCAAGUCUGGUGCCAGCAGCCGCGGUAAUUCCAGCUCCAAUAGCGUAUAUUAAAGUUGUUGCGGUUAAAAAGCUCGUAGUUGGAUCUAGGAUUASGGCUACGGUCGUUCAGCUUGGACGUACUGUAUGCCCGACUCCUUUUCUCUAGUAUUCGAUUGUUGCUCUUAAAUGAGUGACUUUAGUUGCUGGAACUUUUACCUUGAAAAAAUUGAAGUGCUCAAAGCAUGUY